AGCUUUAAGAUAGUUAUUUAAGGUUAAACCUGCCCAGUGUAAGAUAUGAUAAAUGGCCGCGGUACUUUGACCGUGCUAAGGUAGCGCAAUCAAUUGGUUUUUAAAUGGAGCCAGGUAUGAAUGGAGUUACGGGGAUUUUCUGUCUCCUGUCUACUAUAUUGAAAUUACUAUGUAGGUGAAAAAGCCUAUGAUUGGAAAAGGGAAGAGAAGACCCUUAGAGUUUUUUAUUAAAGCAGUUUGGUUGGGGCAACACGGGAACAAAUUUCCACAAAUCGAUUAUUUUAGAGGUGAAAAAACUACCUUAGGGAUAACAGCAUAAUUUUAUAAUUAAGUUUGUGACCUCGAUGUUGGACUGGGAAACUAGAUGGUUAGCCGCCUUUUAGGUAAGUUCUGUUCGAACUAUAAUUCCC
rnacentral:rRNA from 1 species